rnacentral:rRNA from 2 species
AAAUUGAAGAGUUUGAUCAUGGCUCAGAUUGAACGCUGGCGGCAGGCCUAACACAUGCAAGUCGAACGGUAACAGGAAGCAGCUUGCUGCUUCGCUGACGAGUGGCGGACGGGUGAGUAAUGUCUGGGAAACUGCCUGAUGGAGGGGGAUAACUACUGGAAACGGUGGCUAAUACCGCAUAACGUCGCAAGACCAAAGAGGGGGACCUUCGGGCCUCUUGCCAUCAGAUGUGCCCAGAUGGGAUUAGCUUGUUGGUGAGGUAACGGCUCACCAAGGCGACGAUCCCUAGCUGGUCUGAGAGGAUGACCAGCCACACUGGAACUGAGACACGGUCCAGACUCCUACGGGAGGCAGCAGUGGGGAAUAUUGCACAAUGGGCGCAAGCCUGAUGCAGCCAUGCCGCGUGUAUGAAGAAGGCCUUCGGGUUGUAAAGUACUUUCAGCGGGGAGGAAGGUGUUGUGGUUAAUAACCGCAGCAAUUGACGUUACCCGCAGAAGAAGCACCGGCUAACUCCGUGCCAGCAGCCGCGGUAAUACGGAGGGUGCAAGCGUUAAUCGGAAUUACUGGGCGUAAAGCGCACGCAGGCGGUCUGUCAAGUCGGAUGUGAAAUCCCCGGGCUCAACCUGGGAACUGCAUUCGAAACUGGCAGGCUUGAGUCUUGUAGAGGGGGUAGAAUUCCAGGUGUAGCGGUGAAAUGCGUAGAGAUCUGGAGGAAUACCGGUGGCGAAGGCGGCCCCCUGGACAAAGACUGACGCUCAGGUGCGAAAGCGUGGGGAGCAAACAGGAUUAGAUACCCUGGUAGUCCACGCCGUAAACGAUGUCUACUUGGAGGUUGUGCCCUUGAGGCGUGGCUUCCGGAGCUAACGCGUUAAGUAGACCGCCUGGGGAGUACGGCCGCAAGGUUAAAACUCAAAUGAAUUGACGGGGGCCCGCACAAGCGGUGGAGCAUGUGGUUUAAUUCGAUGCAACGCGAAGAACCUUACCUGGUCUUGACAUCCACAGAACUUUCCAGAGAUGGAUUGGUGCCUUCGGGAACUGUGAGACAGGUGCUGCAUGGCUGUCGUCAGCUCGUGUUGUGAAAUGUUGGGUUAAGUCCCGCAACGAGCGCAACCCUUAUCCUUUGUUGCCAGCGAUUAGGUCGGGAACUCAAAGGAGACUGCCAGUGAUAAACUGGAGGAAGGUGGGGAUGACGUCAAGUCAUCAUGGCCCUUACGACCAGGGCUACACACGUGCUACAAUGGCGCAUACAAAGAGAAGCGACCUCGCGAGAGCAAGCGGACCUCAUAAAGUGCGUCGUAGUCCGGAUUGGAGUCUGCAACUCGACUCCAUGAAGUCGGAAUCGCUAGUAAUCGUGGAUCAGAAUGCCACGGUGAAUACGUUCCCGGGCCUUGUACACACCGCCCGUCACACCAUGGGAGUGGGUUGCAAAAGAAGUAGGUAGCUUAACCUUCGGGAGGGCGCUUACCACUUUGUGAUUCAUGACUGGGGUGAAGUCGUAACAAGGUAACCGUAGGGGAACCUGCGGUUGGAUCACCUCCUUACCUUAAAGAA